GAACGGUGUCUUCGGACACAGUGGCGGACGGGUGAGUAACGCGUGAGAAUCUGCCAUCAGGUCUGGGACAACCACUGGAAACGGUGGCUAAUACCGGAUGUGCCCUUCGGGGUGAAAGGUUAACUGCCUGUUGAUGAGCUCGCGUCUGAUUAGCUAGUUGGUGUGGUAAGAGCGCACCAAGGCGACGAUCAGUAGCUGGUCUGAGAGGACGAUCAGCCACACUGGGACUGAGACACGGCCCAGACUCCUACGGGAGGCAGCAGUGGGGAAUUUUCCGCAAUGGGCGAAAGCCUGACGGAGCAAUACCGCGUGAGGGAGGAAGGCUCUUGGGUCGUAAACCUCUUUUCUCAGGGAAGAACACAAUGACGGUACCUGAGGAAUAAGCAUCGGCUAACUCCGUGCCAGCAGCCGCGGUAAUACGGAGGAUGCAAGCGUUAUCCGGAAUGAUUGGGCGUAAAGCGUCCGCAGGUGGCUAUGUAAGUCUGCUGUUAAAGAGUCUAGCUCAACUAGAUAAGAGCAGUGGAAACUACAAGGCUAGAGUGCGUUCGGGGCAGAGGGAAUUCCUGGUGUAGCGGUGAAAUGCGUAGAGAUCAGGAAGAACACCGGUGGCGAAGGCGCUCUGCUAGGCCGCAACUGACACUGAGGGACGAAAGCUAGGGGAGCGAAUGGGAUUAGAUACCCCAGUAGUCCUAGCCGUAAACGAUGGAUACUAGGCGUGGCUUGUAUCGACCCGAGCCGUGCCGUAGCUAACGCGUUAAGUAUCCCGCCUGGGGAGUACGCCGGCAACGGUGAAACUCAAAGGAAUUGACGGGGGCCCG
rnacentral:rRNA from 1 species